rnacentral:piRNA from 1 species
UGUUAACUAAUGGUGGAGAUGCAGAU